UCCCUCCAGGGAUGUCCAACUCCGCUCCCGGUGUCCCCUCUCGGUCUGCUACCCGCCUCUGCAGCGCGACCCCUCGGGUUCUGGGAGCGCUGGCCGGCUCGCCAGCCUCACAUCCUUGCCGUCCGAGAGGAAGAUCUCGGCGCAAAGACCGGGGUUACCCCUCAGGAGAAAAACUUGAUUUCUGAAGCUCCACCCCCAGGAUGAAUUGCAACUCACUGAAUAAAUGUCUCCAUCGAAACUUGA